rnacentral:rRNA from 1 species
UACAGAGGUGGCAAGCGUUGUUCGGAAUUACUGGGCGUAAAGGGCGCGUAGGCGGCCUACUAAGUCAGACGUGAAAUCCCCCGGCUUAACCUGGGAACUGCGUCUGAUACUGGAUGGCUUGAGUUCGGGAGAGGGAUGCGGAAUUCCAGGUGUAGCGGUGAAAUGCGUAGAGAUGCGGAGGAACACCGAUGGCGAAGGCAGCCCCCUGGGCCAACACUGACGCUCAGGCACGAAAGCGUGGGAGC